rnacentral:rRNA from 1 species
AUUGAACGCUGGCGGCAGGCUUAACACAUGCAAGUCGAGCGGGGUGAUGGUGCUUGCACUAUCACUUAGCGGCGGACGGGUGAGUAAUGCUUAGGAAUCUGCCUAUUAGUGGGGGACAACAUCUCGAAAGGGAUGCUAAUACCGCAUACGUCCUACGGGAGAAAGCAGGGGAUCACUUGUGACCUUGCGCUAAUAGAUGAGCCUAAGUCGGAUUAGCUAGUUGGUGGGGUAAAGGCCUACCAAGGCGACGGUCUGUAGCGGGUCUGAGAGGAUGAUCCGCCACACUGGGACUGGGACACGGCCCAGACUCCUACGGGAGGCAGCAGUGGGGAAUAUUGGACAAUGGGGGGAACCCUGAUCCAGCCAUGCCGCGUGUGUGAAGAAGGCCUUAUGGUUGUAAAGCACUUUGAGCGAGGAGGAGGCUCUUUUGGUUAAUACCCAAGAUGAGUGGACGUUACUCGCAGAAUAAGCACCGGCUAACUCUGUGCCAGCCGCCGCAGUAA